AGUGAACGCUGGCGGUAGGCCUAACACAUGCAAGUCGAACGGCAGCACAGUAAGAGCUCGCUCUUACGGGUGGCGAGUGGCGGAUGGGUGAGGAAUACAUCGGAAUCUACUUUUUCGUGGGGGAUAACGUAGGGAAACUUACGCUAAUACCGCAUACGACCUACGGGUGAAAGCAGGGGAUCUUCGGACCUUGCGCGAUUGAAUGAGCCGAUGUCGGAUUAGCUAGUUGGCGGGGUAAAGGCCCACCAAGGCGACGAUCCGUAGCUGGUCUGAGAGGAUGAUCAGCCACACUGGAACUGAGACACGGUCCAGACUCCUACGGGAGGCAGCAGUAGGGAAUAUUGGGCAAUGGGCGCAAGCCUGAUCCAGCCAUACCGCGUGGGUGAAGAAGGCCUUCGGGUUGUAAAGCCCUUUUGUUGGGAAAGAAAAGCAGCAGGUUAAUACCCCGCUGUUCUGACGGUACCCAAAGAAUAAGCACCGGCUAACUUCGUG
rnacentral:rRNA from 1 species